rnacentral:lncRNA from 1 species
AAUUACAUGAAGUAGUGGACUUUUAUGUUUUUACAAAAUGAGCUCAAAAGUUUAAGUUUUGCAACAUAGCCCAAAAAGUUGAGGUUAUUGCAUUUUGGCCCAAAUUAGGUUGUGAACAAAAUGGUUUUGUCUGUUUAAAUGAGAAUUGGAUUUUCAUUUCAUUUAGCUCCAUUUAAAUCAAUUCUAUGGAUACAAAAACCAAAUGAAAAUGUUGCAUUUAAUUUAAUUAGUUAAAGUGUUAAUUAAUUAAAGGGUGAUUAUGAACCUAAGCCUACAAUAAUUGAGCUAUGUGAAAGGCCGUUUCAAAUUUGUUUGAACCAUGGGAAUGUGUAGAUUAGAUUUUGGUUGU